rnacentral:rRNA from 1 species
GGACGGGUGAGUAACACGUGGGUAACCUGCCUGUAAGACUGGGAUAACUCCGGGAAACCGGAGCUAAUACCGGAUAGUUCCUUGAACCGCAUGGUUCAAGGAUGAAAGACGGUUUCGGCUGUCACUUACAGAUGGACCCGCGGCGCAUUAGCUAGUUGGUGGGGUAAUGGCUCACCAAGGCGACGAUGCGUAGCCGACCUGAGAGGGUGAUCGGCCACACUGGGACUGAGACACGGCCCAGACUCCUACGGGAGGCAGCAGUAGGGAAUCUUCCGCAAUGGACGAAAGUCUGACGGAUCAACGCCGCGUGAGUGAUGAAGGUUUUCGGGAUCGUAAAGCUCUGUUGUUAGGGAAGAACAAGUGCGAGAGUAACUGCUCGCACCUUGACGGUACCUA